rnacentral:rRNA from 1 species
AUGCCUCGACCAGGAUCGACGACGCCUGCGGCCACCAUGCGCUCUCCUCUCCUCUCCUGGCCCGUGCACGAUUGUUGUUUCGCGAUUCGAUCCACAAGGCCGACAUGGAAACUCGCACAAAUCCCACCGGAAGCUCCACCUGGACUAGAUCAAACACCGGUCACUACCAGGACCAAAGCUGCAGGAACUCCAACUCCAACUCGAACUCGAACUCGAAACAAGAAGAAAGAAAAUAAAACCCGGAAAUUCCUUCAUUCCGUCGGGGUGGCGAAAUCGCCCAUCGACCAUUGGUCUUUCCAUCGAGUUUGA